rnacentral:lncRNA from 1 species
CUGGUAGAGAUGGGGUCUUCCUGUGUUGCCCAGGUUGGUCUGGAACUCCUGGGCUCCCACCUUCACCUCCUAAAGUGCUGGGAUUAUAGGCAUGAGCCAUCACACCCAGCCUUUUGGUUUUCUUUGGGGUUUUGUGUGUGCGUGUGUGUGUGUGUAUGUGUGUUUACUAUGUCAUUGAAUUAUUUCAGCAAGCCUAUGGGAUGGCUUCCAUGUUCCUAUUUAACAGAUGAGGAAAUGGAGACUCAGUCACUUGCCCAGGUGCACCCAGCACGCAGGUUGCUUUGUUCACAGCUAUAUCCCCAAUGCCCAGAAUAAUACUCAGCAUAUAAUGGAGGCUUUGUAGGAAGAAUGAAUGAAUGAAUGGCAGAGCUGGGGUUUGAACCUAGAUCUGUUUGACUCUAUACUCUUAAGAACUCAGCUGCAUGAGUUGUGUUUAAUUAAAAUAUUUGGUGCUUUUUUUUUUUUUUUUGCUACAAAAUCUCACUCUGUCACCCAGGCUGGAGGUGCAGUCUUGGCUCACUGCAACCUCCGCCUCCCAGGAGAAUCACUUGAACCUGGGAGGUGGAGGUUGCAGUGAGCCGAGAUCACGCCACUGCUCUCCAGCCUGGUGACAGACGAAGACUCCAUCUCAAAAAAAAUAAAAAAUAAAAAAAAAUUAGCUGGGCCUGGUGGCAGAAGCCUGCAAUCCCAGCUACAUGGAAGGCUGAGGCAGGAGAAUUGCUUAAAAUCAGGAAGCGGAGGUUGCAGUGAGCCAAGAUCGCGCCAUUGUAUUCCAUCCAGGGCGACAGAGCAAAACUUCGUCUCAAAAAAAAAGAAAAAAGAA